rnacentral:rRNA from 1 species
CACCAGCGCCUCGAGUGGGGAUCGCGAUUAUUGGGUCUAAAGCGUCCGUAGCAGGCUUUGUAGAUCUUUUGUGAAAUCGGCAGGCUUAACCUGUCGGCGUGCAGAAGAGACCGCAGAGCUCGAGACCGGGAGAGGUCAGAAGUAUUCCUAGGGUACCGGUAAAAUGGGUUAAUCCUGGGAGGACUACCAAUGGCGAAGGCAUCUGACCAGAACGGUUCUGACUGUGAGGGACGAAAGCUAGGGGAGCAAAACGG